GGGAAUAGGAUUCUGAAGAUUUCCAUAUAGUACGAGUUUGAAGACUGAUGGGCAUAUUACUGGAUCUGUAACACAUCAAUACCAUGCUACCCUUGGGAAGGUCUACCACAAGGCAUUUGAUCUAGCCACAAAACCACCUGAAAGGUUUCCACUUGUGCAGCAUGCCUUUGGAGGAAGAGAAUGAGAAAACUGGAAGCAGAAUGUGGCUCAUUCAAAAUAAUCACUCAAGACCUAGGUCAGGAUUAGGAGUCUUUAAGGAAAAAACCCAAUGGC